rnacentral:rRNA from 1 species
UACGUAGGGUGCAAGCGUUGUCCGGAAUUAUUGGGUGUAAAGAGCUCGUAGGCGGUCUGUCGCGUCGGCUGUGAAAACUCGGGGCUCAACCCCGAGCCUGCAGUCGAUACGGGCAGACUAGAGUGCGGUAGGGGAGACUGGAAUUCCUGGUGUAGCGGUGAAAUGCGCAGAUAUCAGGAGGAACACCGGUGGCGAAGGCGGGUCUCUGGGCCGAUACUGACGCUGAGGAGCGAAAGCGUGGGGAGCGAACAGG